rnacentral:tRNA from 1 species
GGGCCUCUACCAACUGGCAGAGCAGCGGACUUUUAAUCCGCGGGUUGUGGGUUCGAUCCCCACGGGGCCCACCA